UACGGGGGGAGCAAGCGUUGUUCGGAUUUACUGGGCGUAAAGGGCGCGUAGGCGGCCAGCACAAUUCAGUUGUGAAAUCUCCGGGCUUAACUCGGAAAGGUCAACUGAUACUGUGCGACUAGAGUGCAGAAGGGGCAACUGGAAUUCUCGGUGUAGCGGUGAAAUGCGUAGAUAUCGAGAGGAACACCUGCGGCGAAGGCGGGUUGCUGGGCUGACACUGACGCUGAGGCGCGAAAGCCAGGGGAGCGAACGGG
rnacentral:rRNA from 1 species